CUGUCCUCCCACCCCCUCCCCAUGUACCCUCCACCUGCACCCCCCGCACCCUCCGUCAUGUGCUGCCACUACAGGGGACAUAGCUUCUGACAACAGCUGCAGCAUCACCAUAAUGGUAAGUUUUUUGCAAAUACUUUGAAACUUUGGAAUGAGUGGUUAUGUGACUUCCUCCAAUUUUGCAAUCCUUCUGAACUUCAUCACCUUCCAUUUCAGAACCAUGACAAAAAAAAGUCUAAGGGCAGGACACCACCUGCCAGACCCAACACCCAGGAUAUGCAGUGUCCCUGGUGAUAUUUAGAAAAUUUUUGAGGGCAGAACUCACCAGGGGUGGCAACCAGCCCACUAAUGAAUGAAGAUAGUGAAGAGGAGAGUGAAAUAUCUUCAGAUUUGGAGGUUAUUUUU